GACGAACGUUGGCGGCGUGCUUAAUACAUGCAAGUCCACUGAAGCAGUGGUAGCAAUAUCGCUGUGGAGGUGGCGCACGGGUGAGUAACACGUAGGUAAUCUGCCUUCAGGUCUGGCAUAACUCCGGGAAACCGGGGCUAAUAGCAGAUGAUGCAGCGGCUCGACAUCGAGACAGUUGUUAAAGCUAUGGCGCCUGAAGAUGAGCCUGCGUCUGAUUAGCUAGUUGGCGGGGUAACGGCCCACCAAGGCAACGAUCAGUAGCUGGUCUGAGAGGAUGAUCAGCCACACUGGAACUGAGACACGGUCCAGACUCCUACGGGAGGCAGCAGUAAGGAAUAUUGCUCAAUGGGAGAAAUCCUGAAGCAGCAACGCCGUGUGAGGGACGAAGGGCUUUUGCUUGUAAACCUCUGUAGUGAGAGAAAAAAAUCCCAAUCUUUGGGACAUGAUGGUAUCUCAAAAGUAAGCCCCGGCUAACUACGUG
rnacentral:rRNA from 1 species